rnacentral:rRNA from 1 species
UAGCAUAUGCUUGUCUCAAAGAUUAAGCCAUGCAUGUCUAAGUAUAAACAUCUUUAUACUGUGAAACUGCGUACGGCUCAUUAAAUCAGUCAUUAUUUAUUUGAUGGUACCUUACUACAUGGAUACCCGUAGUAAUUCUAGAGCUAAUACAUGCACAAAGUCCCGACUUCACGGAAGGGAUGUAUUUAUUAGAUAAAAAACCAAUGCGGCCUCUGGUCGCUUUUGUGGUGAUUCAUAAUAACUGAUCGGAUCGCACGGCGCAAGCUGGCGACAGUUC